ACUCAGCUGUUGAAAGAGGAAUGAGACUCUCACCAAAAAGAGGAAAGACGGUUUUGUGGUUAUGGCACUGGGCUGAGCUGCUGGUGAUCUAGGUUCAAUUCCUAGCUCUACCACAAACUCACUGUGUGACUAUGGGGCUGUGUCUCCAAAUAAGUGUCGUUCCAACCUCAUUUGAUAAUUGCUAACUAGGUGGGCAUGGCAACUGCUUCCAUAUUCAGUCCAAAUAUCAUCAUCAUCAUAUUAAUCAAUUCCACCACCGAGGCCUCAUACUAAACUGCCAAGUCUAUGAAGCUGAAGUGAAAAUUAAGAAGUGCUGGCGUUCUUCCCCAGGAGACAAAGUUCUCCGAGUCUGAGAUACCGGAUCUCCUCAUGCUGCAGGGAGCUGUUUGCGAGGUUAAGAAGGGACUGCUGUUCUCUUUGGAAUCAGGUGCAUCUCCAUCUGCUCCUGCAGAACAAAGAAGAAAGAAAAGGGAAACUCCGGUUUGAAAGAGAAACUGACCUCUUGAUAAACCCUGACCAGAACCAGUCACUGGCUUUGAGGGUCAAGGUAUGGCAACAUCUGGCUCUAGGAAGACUGCAGGCAGCUCCAGCAGAAAAGGCGGUUGAUCAAUAAAUUGUGCUACCAGGCAUGAAAUCGGAGAGAUCUGAGAGCCAUUCAUUAACGAGCUCGUUAAGUGAUUGAUAUGCUUAAUUUUCCUGUCAAAUGUGGACUUCCCUUGUAAACAUGUCAAUUGAGAAAAGUUCAAGCUUGUCACUCGGAUUUAUGGCUGGAAUAACAUGUAGGUGGAAAAGAGCGACAUGUCCCCUGUGGCCCAUGCUGCUUCCUAUUAAAUGUGAGGCCAACGAAUCCAGGUGUUUGAAGGUCCUUUCUCCUCCCCUCCUACUCCUUUCGUCCCACAGCUGAGAUAACAAUAACAGACCUCCAAACCAGAAACAUACCAGAACUUGGCCCCAGCAACAAUUAGCCUAUUAAUUUGUUCAUCUUGAUAAAGCAAGAGGCAUCUUAGCUUUGGAAUGUCUUUGAUGGCUUGUUUUGGGAACUAAGAUUCCCCACUUAUUCUUCCUUCUGUAGUCCCCUCCUCCUUCCCUCCUUAACCGAAUAAAAUAUAUAUGGUUGGAAGUGUU